rnacentral:lncRNA from 1 species
CGCAGCUGGGAGGGGAGGAGAAAGUAGGCGAGAGGAGCACGCGAGCGGCGGCCGCUGGGGCCUGUCUUCGCCUGAGCUUUGAGGCCUGGGUUUGGAACAGGGAUCACAUGCUGGGCCUCCGUAUACUGAGAGCCUUUGCUGUCAGUGACCACAGAAAGGCUGGAGUGGGCGCCCGGGCCAGCACUAGGCUCAAUCAACAGUUACUUUUGUCAUCAAGCACGGGCCUCAGGAGUCUGGAGUAAAAUGGGCAGAAAGAGCCAGAAUAUGAAAACUUCUUCGAGGGACGCCUUCAGAUUGAUGGAGGCAGGAAGACAGAUCAGGCCGGACCUCAUCUCCGAGAUAUUCGCAUGGCUGGGAGAAGCCACAGAAAUUGGCUGGAGAAUGUUUGCAGACCUGGGUCAUCAUCUGAACCACUUGCUGAGCUCUAAAAACAGGGAUCCCUGGGCUACCAUUCUUUGGAGGAACUAAUGAGCCGUGAAUGCCUCUCCGCUCUGCCAGCUUCAUGCCACCUCAUGACUGCUGCCACCUGCUCAAGAAGAUGGAGGCCUGGAGUUCCCAUCAUGGCUCAGUGGUAAUGAACCCAACUAGUAUCCAUGAGGACAUGGGUUCAAUCUCUGGUCUCGCUCAGUGGGUUAAGGACCUGGCGUUGCUGUGGCUGUGGUGAAGUCCGGCAGCUAUAGCUCCUAUUCAACUCUUGGCCCAGGAACUUCCAUAUGCUGGAGGUGAGGCCCCAAAAAGACAAAAGAAAAAAAAAAAAGGAUGGAGGCCUGUGGUCAUCCAGGCAGGUGUGUGAAGUGGAGGCACAGACUGGGGGUGACAAGGCAAAGGUGGCCCUUGCAGACAGGCUGGAGCUGGUUUGGGGCUCUGGGAAGGAUGGAUGCCCCAGCCCAGCCCGCUGGUAGGUUGCAGCUGCUGCUCUGACCUCCUUGCCUUUUCCUCUUCACCCCGUUCCUGGAAACCUCUCCCCUUGGGAGCACCAGACAUGUGGUGCACGGGCGCCUGGGACUGUCCUGUAGCUCUUCUGCUCCCACUCCCUGCCCUCCAUGGGUGCCAGGGGAGGCUCCCCAGUCUCUGCUGAGCCCUGUGCUGACUCUGCCUUCUGUCAUUUUUUAUUUUUUAGCCACACCUGCAGCAUGUGGAAGUUCCUGGACCAGGAAUCAAACCCACACCACAGCAUUGACCUGAGCCACUGCAGUGACAAUGCCAGAUCCUUAACCCACUGCACCGUAAGGGAACUCUGCCUUCGGUCUUUAGCCUGAUGCUAUCAUCAUGAUUUCCAUCCCGGCUGUUACCAAGGAAGGAAGAGGAGGUAGAGGAAGUG